rnacentral:misc_RNA from 1 species
UGUGGGAGCGAGCUUGCUCGCGAAGGCGUUGUGUCAGUCACUUCAUCAUCGGCUGAACUGACGCUAUCGCGAGCAAGCUCGCUCCCACA